rnacentral:rRNA from 1 species
UACGAAGGGGGCUAGCGUUGCUCGGAAUCACUGGGCGUAAAGGGUGCGUAGGCGGUUCUUUAAGUCAGGGGUGAAAUCCUGGAGCUCAACUCCAGAACUGCCUUUGAUACUGAAGAUCUUGAGUUCGGGAGAGGUGAGUGGAACUGCGAGUGUAGAGGUGAAAUUCGUAGAUAUCAGGAAGAACACCCGUGGCGAAAGCGGCUCUCUGGAACGGUACUGACGCUGAGACGCGAAAGCGUGGGGAGCGAACAGG